GACGAACGCUGGCGGCGUGCUUAACACAUGCAAGUCGAGCGGUAAGGCCCUUUCGGGGGUACACGAGCGGCGAACGGGUGAGUAACACGUGGGUGACCUGCCCUUAGCUCUGGGAUAAGCCUGGGAAACUGGGUCUAAUACCGGAUAUGACUCCAUAACGCGUGUUGUGGGGUGGAAAGCCUUGUGCGGCUAGGGAUGGGCCCGCGGCCUAUCAGCUUGUUGGUGGGGUGAUGGCCUACCAAGGCGACGACGGGUAGCCGGCCUGAGAGGGCGACCGGCCACACUGGGACUGAGACACGGCCCAGACUCCUACGGGAGGCAGCAGUGGGGAAUCUUGCGCAAUGGGCGAAAGCCUGACGCAGCGACGCCGCGUGGGGAUGAC
rnacentral:rRNA from 1 species